rnacentral:rRNA from 1 species
GAUGAACGCUGGCGGCGUGCCUAAUACAGGAAAGUCGAGCGAACAGACGAGGAGCUUGCUCCUCUGACGUUAGCGGCGGACGGGUGAGUAACACGUGGAUAAAUUACCUAUAAGACUGGGAUAACUUCGGGAAACCGGAGCUAAUACCGGAUAAUAUAUUGAACCGCAUGGUUCAAUAGUGAAAGACGGUUUUGCUGUCACUUAUAGAUGGAUCCGCGCCGCAUUAGCUAGUUGGUAAGGUAACGGCUUACCAAGGCAAGCAUGCGUAACCGACCUGAGAGGGUGAUCGGCCACACUGGAACUGAGACACGGUCCAGACUCCUACGGGAGGCAGCAGUAGGGAAUCUUCCGCAAUGGGCGAAAGCCUGACGGAGCAACGCCGCGUGAGUGAUGAAGGUCUUCGGAUCGUAAAACUCUGUUAUUAGGGAAGAACAAAUGUGUAAGUAACUAUGCACGUCUUGACGGUACCUAAUCAGAAAGCCCCGGCUAACUACGUC